rnacentral:tRNA from 1 species
GGAGGAUUAGUCUAAUUGGUAAGGCAGCGGUCUUGAAAACCGCCGUGGGUGACCACUUGGGGGUUCGAGUCCCUCAUCCUCCGCAA